AACGGGGAGCUUGCAGACAGGCUGAGAGGAAGUUGUGCACUUCGACCCGGGGACCUGAUUUGGAUAAUGCCAACGUAGGGAUUAGAAGAUGA
rnacentral:ncRNA from 1 species